rnacentral:lncRNA from 1 species
UGGAGUCGAGCUUGCAGUUGCUUCGGAGGCCUGGUACCGGAGGGGAAUUCGCCCGGAGGUGAUGAUAAAGGGCCUGAUCGCAAAGGGAAGGUAAUCUCACUCCCCUCAACUGAUUAUGCUGUGAUUCUUGGCUCUUCAUUACAUGGAUCUCGUGGAAGCUCUCUUGUUUUCUAGCCACUGUUCUUUGUGUUUGGAUCAUCUCAUGAGUUGUGUCCCUUGAACUCACAACACUUGUUAUUGCCUUUCUUUGAGUUCUUCCUCC